rnacentral:rRNA from 1 species
GAUGCGUAGCCGACCUGAGAGGGUGAUCGGCCACACUGGGACUGAGACACGGCCCAGACUCCUACGGGAGGCAGCAGUAGGGAAUCUUCCGCAAUGGACGAAAGUCUGACGGAGCAACGCCGCGUGAGUGAUGAAGGUUUUCGGAUCGUAAAACUCUGUUGUUAGGGAAGAACAAGUAUCGUUCGAAUAGGGCGGUACCUUGACGGUACCUAACCAGAAAGCCACGGCUAACUACGUGCCAGCAGCCGCGGUAAUACGUAGGUGGCAAGCGUUGUCCGGAAUUAUUGGGCGUAAAGCGCGCGCAGGCGGUUUCUUAAGUCUGAUGUGAAAGCCCACGGCUCAACCGUGGAGGGUCAUUGGAAACUGGGAGACUUGAGUGCAGAAGAGGAGAGUGGAAUUCCACGUGUAGCGGUGAAAUGCGUAGAGAUGUGGAGGAACACCAGUGGCGAAGGCGACUCUCUGGUCUGUAACUGACGCUGAGGCGCGAAAGCGUGGGGAGCGAACAGGAUUAGAUACCCUGGUAGUCCACGCCGUAAACGAUGAGUGCUAAGUGUUAGAGGGUUUCC